UUUUUUUCUCUAUAUUUUGCAGGUAUCUUGAACAAACAACUAAUUUUUUUGGUUCCUGGGCAUCAGUAAUCCAAUUGCUCAAAUCAGAUGUGUUCUUAAAGAAGACAUUGAAGUUAAGCAACGAGGACAUCAUUGGCUCUGGAGAGUAUGGGACAAUUUAUAUACUUACACAGGAUGACAGCAUGGCCUUUGCUGUGAAAAGAUUGAACAGAGGAAGUGCAGAUAGAGAUCGAAGAUUUGAGAAGAAAAUUGAAGCAAUGGGAGAUAUAAAGCACCGGAACAUCGUGACUCUUAAUGGAUAUCACACUGCUCCACAUUAUAACCUUCUUAUAUACGAACUGGUAGCUUAUGAAGGCUUGGAUGGAGUGCUUCAUGUGCAAAUGAAAUGCUGAUUUGAAAGUAACUAGCAUUUGAAACAUCAGAAUUCCCAAGGAACACGAAUAAAAGUUGAGUUCUUAAAGUUUUCAAUUUCAUGGUUAUUAAUCAACAUGUUCACCAAUUCUU